AACGAACGCUCUCUUCCUCCCUAAUACAUGCAAGUCGAACGAUAACACCGGGUACAGUCGCUAAAUAGUGCGUCACGCGUGGGAAGCUUCCCAUAGGGCCAGAAUAACUCUCCGAAUGGGGUCAUUUUAUCGGAAAAUAUCUUAGAACCAAUGAUAUAACGAAUAUCGUUGGGCCAGCGUUUGAUCCGAUUGUUGGUAGGGUAAAAGCCUACCACGGGGACGAUCUAUAGCUCGUAUGAGAGGAGGAUCAUCCACACCGGGACUGAGACACAGCCCGGACUCCUACGGGAGGCAGCAGUGCCGAAUAUUGGAAAAUGGGCGAAAGCCUGAGCCAGCACUGCCGCGAGAGUGAUGAAGGCCUUAGGGUUGUAAAGCUCUUUUAACCGGGAUGAUAAUGACAGUACCGUGAGAAUAAGCCCCGGCUAACUCCGUG
rnacentral:rRNA from 1 species